GGACUGUUCAGUGCAAAUCGUUUUUUUCUGCACAUUUAGAUUAACUACAACUCUGCAAGCAGCCAACACUAUACAGAAAUAAUGUGAAGACAGGGAGAUAAAGAUUCAGCAGUGAAUGUGAUUUGGGAGCUCACUCCCUAUUUCAUUGAGCAUACACUGUUUAAGAGACGUGUAAAGGAGUCAAGAACUGUCAACUGGGCGGUGUCUUUGUGAUGCUACGCAAGCUCACCGCUAAAACAUUGGCACACUGUCAACAGAACUGCAGCACGAACACAGCUGUUUUUCCUCCACCACUGAAGAGAAGCUGUAAACAAUGCCAAUGAUGAUCUCUGGAAUUCUAACAGAAAAUAUCAGUUGGUCCCUCUCCUCUCGGUGUUGUGCAACAUCCAUCGCUCUGGGCCGGCCUGCGUAGGGAGACAAGAGGGGCAUGGCGCAGUGCGGGGCCCUGACAGUUCUCCCGGUUCUGACCCUUUGCCUGCCCUGACACUGUACCCGCCUGCCUGACCAUUCAGCCUGCCCUGAUCUGCCUGCCUGCCGCCCUGUACCUUCUGGAAUCUGACCUGGUUUAUGACCUUCUGCCUGUCCUCGACUUGCCUCUUGCCUGCCCCUUGUUUUUCAAUAAAUAUCAGAAACUCAAA
rnacentral:lncRNA from 1 species